CUUAUGCACACUCGUGCACAUAUACACACGUGCACAUACACACACGUGCACAUACACACAUGCGCACACUUAUGCACAUACACGCACACACUUAUGCACACUCGUGCACAUACACACACGUGCACACAAUCCAUUAAUUACUUAUCAUACUUCAUUGCAAACACAUCUGUGUUGUAGAAAUACUGAGUAAACAAGUCACAAUGAAGUGGAGGGAGCAGGAGACGAUUUGAGACGAGGCCGAGCAGGUUGACCAUUUUACAUUGGGGGGGGGGGGGGGUUAGGGGACUACAGUGUAGGGUUGAUAGGGUAACAUCUUCUGCUUAUCAUUAAUAGCAAAGAUCCAUGUAGGUUU